UGCCAGCCGCCGCGGUAAUACGAAGGGGGCUAGCGUUGUUCGGAAUCACUGGGCGUAAAGCGUAUGUAGGCGGAUCAAAAAGUCAGUUGUGAAAUCCUCUGGCUCAACCAGAGAACUGCAGCUGAAACUACAUGCCUUGAGUCCAACAGAGGGAAUCGGAAUCCAGGGUGUAGCGGUGAAAUGCGUAGAUAUUCUGGAGAACACCAGUGGCGAAGGCGGAUUCCUGGGUUGGUACUGACGCUGAGGUGCGAAAGUGUAGGGAGCGAACAGGAUUAGAUA
rnacentral:rRNA from 1 species